GACGAACGCUGGCGGCGUGCUUAACACAUGCAAGUCGAACGGAAAGGCCUCUUUCGGGGGGUACUCGAGUGGCGAACGGGUGAGUAACACGUGAGUAACCUGCCCUUGACUUUGGGAUAACUUCAGGAAACUGGGGCUAAUACCGGAUAGGAGCUCCUGCUGCAUGGUGGGGGUUGGAAAGUUUCGGCGGUUGGGGAUGGGCUCGCGGCUUAUCAGCUUGUUGGUGGGGUAGUGGGUUACCAAGGCUUUGACGGGUAGCCGGCCUGGGAGGGUGACCGGCCAAAAUGGGAAUGAGAAAAGGGCCAGAAUCCUAAGGGGGGGAAGAGUGGGGAAAAAUGGAAAAAGGGUGGGAGCCUGAUGCAGGAAAGGCGGGGGCGGGAAGAAGGCCUUCGGGUUGGAAAACGGUUUCGCUAAUGACGAAGGUUUGUGUGACGGUAGUGGGUAAAGAAGCACCGGCUAACUACGUG
rnacentral:rRNA from 1 species